rnacentral:rRNA from 1 species
AGGACGAACGCUGGCGGCGUGCUUAAAACAUGCAAGUCGAACGGAUCCUUCGGGAUCAGUGGCAAACGGCUGAGUAACACGUAGGUAACUUACCCUGGAGUGGGGGAUAACUACUCGAAAGAGUAGCUAAUACCGCGUACGCUUGUCUGUCCCUGGACAGAUUAGGAAAGCAGUAAUGCGCUCUAGGAGAGGCCUGCGGUCGAUUAGCUAGUUGGUGAGGUAACGGCCCACCAAGGCUACGAUCGAUAGCUGGUCUGAGAGGACGAUCAGCCAGACUGGGACUGCGACACGGCCCAGACUCCUACGGGAGGCAGCAGUUAGGAAUUUUGGGCAAUGGGCGAAAGCCUGACCCAGCAACGCCGCGUGAGCGAUGAAGGCCUUCGGGUCGUAAAGCUCUUUUACCGGGGAAGAUAAUGACGGUACCCGGUGAAUAAGCCCCGGCUAACUACGUGCCAGCAGCCGC